rnacentral:rRNA from 2 species
UGACCUCAGCUCAAGCAAGAAUACCCGCUGAACUUAAGCAUAUCAAUAAGCGGAGGA